rnacentral:rRNA from 1 species
UACAGAGGUCUCAAGCGUUGUUCGGAUUCAUUGGGCGUAAAGGGUGCGUAGGCCGCACGGUAAGUCAGAGGUGAAAUCCCGGAGCUCAACUUCGGAAUUGCCUCCGAUACUGCCGUGCUUGAGGACUGGAGAGGAGUCUGGAAUUCACAGUGGAGCAGUGAAAUGCGUAGAUAUUGUGAGGAACACUAGUGGCGAAGGCGAGACUCUGGACAGUUCCUGACGCUGAGGCACGAAGGCCAGGGGAGCAAACGGG